rnacentral:rRNA from 1 species
CGCUCAAUUCAUUUUUAAACCACCUGUGCACAUACUGUAGGCCUGAAUCAACUUUUCGAGGAAACUCGGUUUGAGAACUGCUGCGAAAAGCAGCUGUUCUUGUACUUCAGGUCUAUGUUUAUAUCAUAUACUCCAUAACAAGUUAUAGAAUGUUACUUUAUAGGCCUUCUGUGCCUUUAAAAACCUAAUACAACUUUCAACAACGGAUCUCUUGGCUCUCGCAUCGAUGAAGAACGCAGCGAAAUGCGAUAAGUAAUGUGAAUUGCAGAAUUCAGUGAAUCAUCGAAUCUUUGAACGCACCUUGCGCUCCUUGGUAUUCCGAGGAGCAUGCCUGUUUGAGUGUCAUUAAAUUCUCAACCUCUCUAGCUUUUUUUAAAACAAAGGCUGGUUAGGCUUGGAUUGUGGGAGUUGCUGGCUUCUUUGCAAAUCAGCUCUUCUUAAAUGUAUUAGCGAAAUUCCUUUGUUGAACAUCUUUUGGUAUGAUAAUUAUCUAUAUCAUUGAGAUACAGCUUUUCCACUUUGGCGGAUCAGGCUCCGCUUGGAUUAUAUUUUCCAAGUGUUCGGUUCAACCGCUCUGAAGCACCAGCUUAGGCACAGAUGGGUUAAGCUCAUUUGAUGGUGUUGAAUACUUCAGGUUGACGAAGCGAGGCACUCUUUUUUUUUGGAGUGCUCACGAGAGCAAGCACUGUAAUCAUCUCUUUUGAUGUUGUGCACUGUCAUAUUCCUGUUAACCUACCCUAGCUACUAUGUGG